rnacentral:misc_RNA from 1 species
UUAACAAAUUUUGCUUUUCGCUCAGACUGCAUACUUCAGACAGCGUUCACAGGUGGCUUCGGCGGGCGCGGGCCCGGGGGCAGAUGCCCCCCGGCGGCCGUGAGGCGGGCCCGCCGAAGCAACAAGGUUCGUUAAACACGGGUGGGAGGUUGGACCCCGAGGGGCCCUCACUCAGUAAUGAUCCUUCCGCAGGUUCACCUACGGAAA